AACACAAUGACAUCCGAUUUUUGUUUUUAACUGCACUGCUAAAUAAAAAUGUAAUAUAUUCAAAAAUGUUUUAUUCAAUUUUCGGCUGGGAUGGGGUUGGAUAACAUCGAUAUAAAACAUACUCCAGCUUACUAACAAACUAACCCCCCAGAGUGGUUUCUGUAACCUCGCGGCCGGCUGUGAAGACCUCUAGUGAGACCGGAACCAACAUUUAUGUUCUCGCUGGACACGAAAACAGUUUCUAGUCUCGUGGCACGCGAGAAUUGUUCUAGGCUUUCAGGAUAAUCACUGUGCAGAGCAGUCCAGAGAGUGCUGAAGUAAGCGCUGUAACAGCUCCCGGUCAACAGACGGUAACAGCGGAUGCUGACAAUGGGGUCAACCUGUAUAUUCUUGCUGGACACGAGGCUAUGCAGCUUUAAUUUAAAGUACAGCAUUAAUAUAUUCAUGAGAUGUUAGGGAAACUGCAGAUGUCUUAUGUAUUAUUAUUUCCAUUAAAACAGCGGAUUCCUUAAGGUUAGCUGAUUUAUUGAAAUCAGCUGAUUUCUUGAUCACCUGAUUCCUUCAUCAGCUGAUUUAUCAAGAUCAGCUGAUUCCUUCAUCAGCGGUUCUUUUGAAACCAGCUGAUCCCUUGAGAUUUCUCGUUUAACAGCGAUCUUGGGAAUAAUUUAAUUUCACUCUGUUCUCUUUACUCUCUUGGCUAGCUGCCGCUUUGAUAAUUCACAUCUCUCAUAAUCUAUAAAUCCAAGAUUAUCCGUUAGUUUUUCUUUUAUUUGACACAUCAAGGGGUUGUUCGCCAUUUUUGAAUUGUUUGUAAGCGAAACGCAUUCCAUUUGAAAGAAAACCCGGACACCCGUCCUCCCCCCAAUUAAAACAAUUAUGACAUAUUUUUUAAAGUUCACUUUUACUAUGGAUACAAUGUCUUCUAAGAUUAUAACACUACAGAUAAUAAAUUUAAAUAGUUAAUACAGUUUUAAGAAAAUAGAAAAAUAUUUAUGCCUUUAUAUUAAAUAUCAAGCAAAAAUAUUCCAGCAUGCUGAGCUUUAGCUUUGUUUUAAUGGAUCUGUCAAUCAAUUUUCAAUAUUUUAGUUGUGAAACAUCACAUUGUUCACGGUCGUCUUAGUUCCGGCAAAUAUAUGAACAAUUAAAGAUCGUCUUUUCCAUGAUUAAAGUGAUAACUAAAUAAAUCCUAUUAUACAUUCCUGCUCACCCUUCAACAACGUGGUAUAUAUUUUCAUGAACUGUCACUUUUUUCACAAUGGGUUUCUGAUGGUUAUUAUCAAAGAAUUUGAUAUUAGUAUCUCAAAAUGACUCAAUUACUUUCCACCUUUUAUUCUGUUUUCAACGAUAAAAUGAUAGAUGUAGCAUGUAUUUUUGAUCUGAAACGCUUCAUGCCACAAUCUAUGAAUGUUAAAUCACUUAAAAUGACGGCUUCACUUUCAGUCCCGUUUAAGAGAGCAGGAUUAAUAUUGAUUGCAUGCGGUUUAGUUCUAGUACCAUGUGAAUGAGGCCGGAUUUUUUAGUUUCUACAAUUUUUACAAUGUUUACCUAAUACCCAUGUGCCUAUGAAAACCCUAUUUAUACAACUGUUUCCUUGUGGAUCCAAGUUUCUAUUUUGUCAUUUUAUUUUUACCCCGAGUGUCCCAGCUAAGCUUGGGUAUCGUUUUUACAUCCUUUUUUGUCUUUGAAAAGAUGUUGGCUUCUUUAAUAGUGAUUGAAACAAAAGCUUUUUUUAUUAUCAGCUAAUGUUGAUUUCUCUCUAGGGACUUCCACUGAAACUAAGAUGAACCACUAAUCUUGAUCGCUGGGUUAAGCUGAAGAGAAGUGGUUCAACUCAGUCUCAGAUUUGGUCCUGUCAAGAUAAAUUAAUUUCGAGGCAUAGCAUUACUUUGCUUCAGUUUUCUAGCACAAAAUAGGUUUUACAUUCUAGCGGAGGAAAAAUAAUGUUAAUCUGUAAACGAUAUCCAACCUCAGUUGGACACAGCUUAUCUUGUCCCUCAACACAAAUUUCUCGCUGAGACUUCGUUGAUAAUACCGUAUUAUUAAGGGAUAAUGUUCCCUGGGGUUCUAUUCCCCCCCCCCUCUGUAUUUUAUCAUGUCUCGGUUGCUUUUUACCCCCUUUUAAGGGAGUUCAAUUGGCUUUGUUUUUUUUUUAGAAAGGGGGCUUCAAAUAAUUAAAUUCGACCUAAAGGCGCUUAGUUGGAAUAUACAUCAUGUAACUCUGCAAUCCUUAUUGUGUUCUUAAUAUAGUAUAAAUAUAUAUAAAUAUCCUAAGUUGUUGUAACCUUUGUUAUAUCAAAUAUAUACAUUAAAAAAGAAAA